GCCGGCGUAGCUCAGUUGGUAGAGCAACCGAUUCGUAAUCGGUAGGUCGGACGUUCGACUCGUCUCGCCGGCA
rnacentral:tRNA from 1 species